GGGCGGUGUGCCGGAAACGCGUGUUGGCCCGUUGACACCUAGCUCGAGCAUACCAGAGCAGAGCUGCUUUCGCCAUAGAUGGCAUAGAAUUCUUCUUCGAGGAAUCGGACGCAGGGUUGGUCUCUCGUUUGGACGACGUGCUUGUCUUGAGAGACGGCCGUGCGCAGCUCAUUGAUGAUGAGACGAGCGAAAUUACUGGUGCCUAAGAUGACUUGAUUUAUUCUGAGCCAGUGUGCCUGGAUGGGUACCCUAUGGAGGAGGCAUUUGUAACGGAGAGGAACUGCAGCUCGUACAAUGGUGGUGGCGAAGAGGUAGGGGAUUCGUGUGACCCAGGCGCUGGGAGUAUUGCCCUGACACGGCAGCCGAGGAUAGAGAGGAAGACGGCGUGGUCGUGUCAAGACAAAGGGGUCUUGUUGGACCGGGAGGGUCAGGACUAGUAAGGCAGCAGAUGAGAGGGAGCACAGUUCUAGCAGAGUGUCUGCCCUCGAGGCUUCGGUUCGUGCCUAUGUUGAUCAAAACUGCAAAUGUUAUUAAUCCAGCAAUUGGAACUAGCUUUGAGUCUCUCGAGGAGGACUAUGAGUUCUACAACCUGUACUCUUGGGAAGUUGGUUUUGGUGUCCAAUACGUAAAAAGCCAUUUGAAUGUACACCAGAAGAAGUGCGUAUGCGCCUGUGCGGGUAAACCAUUGCAGUCUAAUGGCCGGUCGAAGAUGUGGGUGCAAUGCCAUGAUGCGGCUGCUGAGAUCGGAUGAUUGUGGCUGGUAUGUGUGCGAGCACAGGUCAGAGCACAACCAUGAUCUAUCAGCUAACCGUGGGAAGAAAUUGCAUUGGAAGUCAGCUCGGCACAUAGAUAGUUACACAAAGUAAGAACACAGGUAGCAACACGCCAAAAGUUGACAAUCCACAAUGAGCAUCAGGCGUUUAUUGACAUUGUUCGUUUGUGGUUUGACGCCAUUAUAGAUGACGUUUUGUUUUUAUAAGAACCAUUUUGAGACCUUCAUUUAUGUAUUCUACUCCCUUCAUCCCACAAUGAAAGACGUUUUUACAAGCUAGUCCUACAUUAUGGGACAGAGGGAGUACUAGACUGUAUGUUUGCUGAAUUUGGGGUAGCCAUGGCAUUAGCAGCUUGUUGCUU